AGAAAAACUGCAAUUCAAAAAUCAGUGAAGUAUGUGAAUCAGGGUCCUAGCUCUAUUUUUGCUAUUCAUGUGUUGUCUUUCAUGAUAAUAGAAAGGGGAGACUGACUGAUUUUGAAAAUAUUAAUGUACAAUCCCUUAAAUGUUCUUACUCUCUGUGGCAGGAGAUAUUAUCUUGGUCCAGUAGCCAUGUGCUAUGAUGAGUUCUCAGUGGCCUCUGCUUAUCAAGGACCAACUCAUUCUGAUUGGUGUCUAUUGAAGCAAAGAGCUGCUCUCGCCUGCCGGGACCUCAUUUGGGGAAAGUGGUCAUUUGCUCCCACCCACAUUUGUACUACUACUCCUUGAUGGUGCUGGCUGGCCAGGAUAAAACCACGCAGAGAUGACACACUUGAUGCAGGCCAACAAGGAAGGAAGUCACCAUACUUCAGGUAUUUCCCUUCCUACGCUCUGUUCCUCACCAAUACAGGAUUUGUUUUUCUGCAAAGAUCUUUCCAAAAUAAUUAGGAAUUAAAAAUUGCAAAUAUAUAUAUAUAGAUCUAUAUAUAUACAUACAUACAUACCUCUUGGAAGCUUUUAAUGACUGCUUUCAUUAAUAACCAAUCACAGGUGAGAACUGACUCAUCUCUACAGCCCAGUGUUGACCCGUCUCUUUUUUCUCCACAGACUAUUUACUGCUACCCUUUACCAGACAUACGUGAUCAGAAUCCAGUGCUGUGAAUCAUUCGGUUGGUGAAUCUUACUGUUGAGGUUCCCAGCCUCCUCUGCUUAUGCUACCUUGGCAUCAAAAGUGCCCUGCUGAUUUACUGGCUGAACUUCUCUAAAAAAAAAAAAAAAAAAAAAAGAGAGAGAGAGAGAGAGAGAAAAAGAAAAGAAAGAAAGAGAAAGGGAAAAAAAAGCUCUCCCAUAUACCAUCACACAUUUAUAUUUCAGAGAAACUAAAUCUAAGAGCAUAGGAAGGUGAAUAAGAAUCCAAAGUGAGUAGAAAAUAAAUCCAGGUAAAAUGAAAAAUGUAUCAAUGGAUAGUUGUCUUCUAUGAAUGUCCCCAGCCUGGCUUGUUUUGAGGUGUGCGGGGGAGAAGGUAAAUGUGCUCAUUCUGAAACUAAAACUCAAAUUUGGAAGAUUUUAUGGGCAUAUGAAUGAUGACAAAAACUGACCUCAUCCUUCAAAAGAAUUUCACCUGGCUUUUUUCUAGGAGUUUCUGAGGUUACCUGACUUGUGUGUGAAAUUAUAACUGUUCACAUUAUGUCCACUUCCACUCAGUUUUCUCCUUGAAAGUCAUGUGUCCUCAUAGGAGGACAUGAGGAAGACUGCUGACACUGUCACUGGGGAUCUUCUGAAAAAUGAGGGCAGUGUACCUCACCACCUUCUUCUGAAUAGCUUCUUUAA
rnacentral:lncRNA from 1 species